AGGCCCGUAGCUCAACUGGCAGAGCACCGGUCUCCAAAACCGGUUGUUGGGGGUUCAAGUCCCUCCGGGCCUGCCA
rnacentral:tRNA from 1 species